rnacentral:rRNA from 1 species
GCAACGAUGAAGAACGCAGCGAAAUGCGAUAAGUAAUGUGAAUUGCAGAAUUCAGUGAAUCAUCGAGUCUUUGAACGCACAUUGCGCCCCCUGGUAUUCCGGGGGGCAUGCCUGUCCGAGCGUCAUU